rnacentral:rRNA from 1 species
UACGGAGGAUGCGAGCGUUAUCCGGAUUUAUUGGGUUUAAAGGGUGCGUAGGCGGCUUAGUAAGUCAGCGGUGAAAUUUUGUCAGCUUAACUGUAACAGUGCCGUUGAUACUGCCAGGCUAGGAUUUGGUUUGCUGUGGGUGGGAAUGUGUGGUGUAGCGGUGAAAUGCUUAGAUAUCACACAGAAUAUCAAUUGCGAAGGCAGUCUUCCAAGCCGUUAUUGACGCUCAACUGCGAAGGUGUGGGUAUCAAACAGGAUUA